CUGUCAGGUGCGCCGGGAUGCGCCGGGAACGGGGAGCAGCCGGGGGGCUCCGGGCUGGGCGGCGUUCCGGCGGCGGCGGCGCCUCCCGCGCGGUGAAAUGCAGGACGAGCGGCCCCGCUGUGCUGUUUCCUCCUCGGGGAGAGCUUGAAACGAGAGGGAAAGAGAGAGAGAGAGCGAGAGGGGAGAGCGAUCGGUGGUGACUCGGGGGCUGGCCGGGCUGCUGCUGGGGCUCGGCGGCCGCAGACGGUGGAUUUGUGGGAAGAGGACGGGAUGAGAAAUAAACGCACCUGGCCAGCGGUGUUUAGGGGAGCGGGGGCCGGGUGCCCCCGCUGGCUGCCGGAGCCCCCGGACUCCGGACGCGGACCCGCCGAGCUGCAAUGGACGCUGCCCGCCGCUGGCCGCAGAGCGGAGCACACCCGCCGCCGCCGCCACCGCCGCCGAGGAGGGAGAGCUGCCCGCCCGGAGCCGGCCCGCAGCGCGCCCCUCGCCCGAAGAGGGGCCGGGAGUUUCCUCUUCGGCAUCGCUCCGGUGACCGCGGGCUGUGCCAGCCCGCCGCCCAGAUAGGUUGCGUGGCAGCCACGGCGCGAGCGAAUAGAACUCCUUGGAUGUGUCGGAAGUAAGCGCCGGGAGCAUUUUGUGAUCUUUGUGGGAGGAAGGCACAAGCCACCCAGGCCCCGUUCCCUCCAUCUUGAGCUUUCCAUGGUGAUUUGCAGCAGCACAGGGAAGUAUGAAGCACUGAGGAACAGAAGUCAGUGUUUAAACCUGACUUCACUUCUGCAUUAACGACCACAUAAGUUUCAGAUAACAGAGGACCAGGGGUAGAAUAGCAGAAGCACUUAAGGUGCCUCAUUUAAAAGUUCUUUUUUGCAUAACUAAAGAUUCGGGAGCUGUUCAGAAAAGAUGAUUAUACAAGUGUUUUUAUUUACUGUCCUAGCAGAAGAUGAUGAUCCGCAUUAUCUUAUAUGCAUCUUGGAUGCAUCUGUAUCACCAUAUAGAUUUCAGGCGACCUGUAUUGAUUUAAGUUAGUAAAGAAAUACAGUGAAGUUUUAAAUAAUUGGAAUAAUAUUCUCCCUCUCUUUCAGCCAGAUUUGCCCUUCAUGUUACUUGUGUUUCAUAAUCCUCCUAGCUCUCCAUUUCGUCAUUACAAGACCAGCAUCUCUACUGUAAAAAAAAAAAAAAAAACACAGAGAGAGAGAAA